rnacentral:rRNA from 1 species
UACGUAGGGUGCGAGCGUUGUCCGGAAUUACUGGGCGUAAAGAGCUCGUAGGUGGUUUGUCGCGUUGUUCGUGAAAACUCACAGCUUAACUGUGGGCGUGCGGGCGAUACGGGCAGACUGGAGUACUGCAGGGGAGACUGGAAUUCCUGGUGUAGCGGUGGAAUGCGCAGAUAUCAGGAGGAACACCGGUGGCGAAGGCGGGUCUCUGGACAGUUCCUGACGCUGAGGCACGAAGGUCAGGGGAGCGAACGGG